GCCAGCGUGGCAUAGUGGUUUGAGGGUUGGACUAGGACUCUGGAGACCACGGUUUGAAUCCCAGCUUGGUCA